UCUUGGGAAUACUACCGCUUUGCUGCAC
rnacentral:sRNA from 1 species